rnacentral:rRNA from 1 species
UACGUAGGGACCAAGCGUUGUCCGGAAUCAUUGGGCGUAAAGCGCGCGUAGGCGGCCCGGUAAGUCCGUUGUAAAAGUCGAAGGCUCAACCUUCGAAAGCCGAUGGAUACUGCCGGGCUAGAGUACGGAAGAGGCGAGUAGAACUCCUGGUGUAGCGGUGGAAUGCGCAGAUAUCAGGAGGAAUACCCAUAGCGAAGGCAGCUCGCUGGGACGUUACUGACGCUGAGGCGCGAAAGCGUGGGGAGCGAACAGG